rnacentral:rRNA from 1 species
GUGUUGAGCAGCUACCAUGCAAGUCGAGCGGUAACAGAUCCAGCUUGCUGGAUGCUGACGAGCGGCGGACGGGUGAGUAAUGCAUAGGAAUCUGCCCGAUAGUGGGGGAUAACCUGGGGAAACCCAGGCUAAUACCGCAUACGUCCUACGGGAGAAAGGGGGCUUCGGCUCCCGCUAUCGGAUGAGCCUAUGUCGGAUUAGCUAGUUGGUGAGGUAACGGCUCACCAAGGCCACGAUCCGUAGCUGGUCUGAGAGGAUGAUCAGCCACAUCGGGACUGAGACACGGCCCGAACUCCUACGGGAGGCAGCAGUGGGGAAUAUUGGACAAUGGGGGGAACCCUGAUCCAGCCAUGCCGCGUGUGUGAAGAAGGCCCUCGGGUUGUAAAGCACUUUCAGCGAGGAAGAACGCCUAGCGGUUAAUACCCGCUAGGAAAGACAUCACUCGCAGAAGAAGCACCGGCUAACUCCGUGCCAGCAGCCGCGGUAAUACGGAGGGUGCAAGCGUUAAUCGGAAUUACUGGGCGUAAAGCGCGCGUAGGUGGCUUGAUAAGCCGGUUGUGAAAGCCCCGGGCUCAACCUGGGAACGGCAUCCGGAACUGUCAAGCUAGAGUGCAGGAGAGGAAGGUAGAAUUCCCGGUGUAGCGGUGAAAUGCGUAGAGAUCGGGAGGAAUACCAGUGGCGAAGGCGGCCUUCUGGACUGACACUGACACUGAGGUGCGAAAGCGUGGGUAGCAAACAGGAUUAGACCC